CUAUAUGUAUCCAGCCGACUGCUCAAAAUGAUAAAGUCACCGCUCAUCACAGCCCAAACUGUGGGCUGUGGCCGCUGGCCGAGAGCCGGCUACCCACAGCGGCAGCAGCAACACGGCUAGUUAGCAUUAGCAUGCAGCUAACAGGUUGAUUCCAAGUGAAAACCAUCUACACAGCUAAAGAGGCUUACAUAACACUUGGGAUCCCCCUGACAUCCCACAAGACUGUCAGUCUAGUCGUGUAGCUGGAAUUUGCUGCAGCAGAGGUGGGGAUGAAUAUUCAGAAGCUCAGCUGCCUCCAAGGCCUACAGAGACAUGACACACACACCCCUCCAAGGACCCCCAACCCUCCCUCUUUCUCUAUACACAUACACACACACACACCCCUCCACUUUCCCUUGAUGUGGUGGAGUCAGUCCAACACUCCACAGGUGUGACCCACUCAGACCUGUGAAAGCCUCCACACACCACUCAGGCCUGUGAUCAGGAAGGCAGAAAGAGCAGCUGCGCAUAUACAGGAAGCAAAGGACAGAGUUAUCACCAUGAGCCAUCUGUAAUGGACAUCAUGGGAAAUGAAUCAAUCCCUCCUUCCAUGACUGGUUGCGCUGAUGUCACAGUUAAACUGAUAGAUGAGGAAGUUGUCUCCCCACAAGACACUUUGUGGACUUUUGAAGGUUAAUAGCCAAAAGAUGGGUCCAUCAAUCGCAUUAAAGUCUGAAAUAAUAACACCCCA